GAUGAACGCUAGCGGCAGGCCUAAUACAUGCAAGUCGAACGGUCCACUUCGGUGGAUAGUGGCGCACGGGUGCGUAACACGUAUGCAACCUACCUUACAUUGGGGGAUAGCCUUUCGAAAGGGAGAUUAAUACCGCAUAAGACAGUAACAUGGCAUCAUGUAGCUGUUAAAGAUUUAUCGAUGUAAGCUGGGCAUGCGUCCAAUUAGUUAGUUGGUGAGGUAAUGGCUCACCAAGACGAUGAUUGGUAGGGGAACUGAGAGGUCAAUCCCCCACACUGGCACUGGGAUACGGGCCAGACUCCUACGGGAGGCAGCAGUAGGGAAUAUUGGGCAAUGGACGCAAGUCUGACCCAGCCAUGCCGCGUGCAGGAAGAAGGCGUUCUGCGUUGUAAACUGCUUUUAUAUAGGAAGAAACGACCCUUGCGAGGGGCAUUGACGGCAUUAUAUGAAUAAGCACCGGCUAACUCCGUGCCAGCCGCCGCCGUAACAC
rnacentral:rRNA from 1 species